UACGUAGGGUGCGAGCGUUAAUCGGAAUUACUGGGCGUAAAGCGUGCGCAGGCGGUUCGUUGUGUCGGCGGUGAAAGCCCCGGGCUCAACCUGGGAAUGGCCGUUGAAACUGGCGAACUGGAGUGUGGCAGAGGGGGGUGAAUUCCGCGUGUAGCAGUGAAAUGCGUAGAUAUCAGGAGGAACACCGAUGGCGAAGGCAGGUCUCUGGGCUGACACUGACGCUCAUGCACGAAAGCGUGGGGAGCAAACAGG
rnacentral:rRNA from 1 species